CAGGCUGGAAUGCAGUGGUGUGAUCUCGGCUCACUGCAACCUCCACCUCCCAGGUUCAAGCUAUUCCCCUGCCUCAGCCUCCCGAGUAGCUGGGACUAAAGGCAUCUGCCACCACGUGCGGCUAAUAUUUUUGUUUUUUGUAUUUUUGUGGAAAUGGGGUUUCGCCACGUUGGCCAGGAUGGUCUUCAUCGCAUGAUCCAUCCAUCUCAGCCUCCCAAAGUGCUGAGAUUACAGGUGUGAGCCACCGCACCUGUCCCAUGUGAUUUGUUUUCUGACAUAACCUUGAUAAAUCCACCAGGAAACAUAGAUGCCCAUUAAUGAGGGAAAUCAAUGGUGGAUACAUUUUGAGGUUGGUAAUAUAAAGUCAGAUGAUAAAGUCUUCAGAAAGAUACAUCUUUUCCUAUACAUCAGAGAUAUUUUUUCAUGUACUGGAGAUACUCAGUUGAAUGAAUCGAUUUCUUUAUUCUGUUUACAAAUCCGAGGAAACAAGCAUUUAUGGAAAACAUAGGAACUGCAUAUUUUCUGUUUCUGCAUGAUACUGAAUAAAGAAUGACAGCGGUGCA
rnacentral:lncRNA from 13 species